rnacentral:lncRNA from 1 species
UCCUCUCUUCCUCAUGCCCUCAUGCCGGUCUUGCUUUGGCAGAAAAGAAACGUACAAACCAGAGGGGCAGAGCAUCGCAAGCGAGAUGGCAGUAUGAUCUGUGGGUCGGGGCUAGGCCGGCCAGCAAGCUGGCGAUGGCAGAAGCCAUGCGCGCUGGCCGGUGGCCCUCAAAAGAGGGAGAAGAUGAGCGAGAAAGGGGUUUUUUUUCGGAGAGGAGAUGGACAGAGAGCUUGAGAGAGAUCGAAGAGCUCGAGAGAACGGAGGGCGAGCCAGAGGGAGAGAGUGAGACCGAGAGAGCGUUUCGGCAUUUCCUGAGAUCCGCCCGUUGCUCAUCGUCCGAACCGGGUAAGUCUUCCGAACCGUUGGUGCUCCGUUUUAGGAGGUGUUGGACCGGAGCUCGCGACCGACCAUUUCGCGCGAGCUUCGGUCCCGCUGGUCCUUCGUUGAUUUUGUUGCGCGUUCUGGUAUGUUUCGGUAGGAACUUAGGGCUGUGUUUGAGUCUCGAUCGCGUCGGAAAUCUCUCGUUCGAGUCGCGCACGUCAACUGUUUGCAGGGAUGCUUGAAUGAAGUCCGAGUAUUCUUAGUUGGUCUUGACCGAGCCUUAUCGUCCUUGAGUUCAUAUCCAUGUUAAAUUUGAUGUGAUCUGUCUCUGAGUUGAUCUGGAAUGUUGUUUGUGUGUCGAUGAUCGUUGCUUGGUCCGAACAAUAGCCCCGGACGAGCUUGGUCCUCCCUCUCGCUGGUGCAUUCUAUCUGUUUGAUGAAAUGUCAAAAUGAGAUUUGGAAAUGGUUUCUGCAAGGUUUGUUGCUAUGAUAUUAUCUUUGUUCGAGUUUGAGUCGCUUCCAUCGUGCUGUUUGCUCAUGCCGGUGUUAGUACACAAAUCGACGGAGUUUUGGUCAUACGAAAAUUUAGAGCUAAAAAAUCUAAUCAUUCGCCGGAAGCAUUCCGGCAACGGUGAUGAUCUCCGGUCAACUAGUGGCCGGCGGAGGUUCGGCGGUGGAAGGGUCGCCGGUCGUUCCGGGCUGCGUCGUUAUUUGGCUGAGUUUCGAUGAGGCCAUGUUUUGGGGAAGAGAAGGCUUCGGCGUGCAGAGAGGAUGCACGAGGGAGAAGAAGACCAAAGGGGAGGAAUAAUAAUAAUAAAUAAAUAAAUAAAAAGGAAAAGCAAGAGUAAAACUGCAGCAAAAAGUUUUUUAAAAAAAAAAAAAAGCGAGAGAAAAGAAGAUAAAAGUACCUUCGGGAAAGACAGGGAGGGAGCAGGGAGGAGAGAGAACAAAAUAAAAAGAAAAGAAAUAAGAAGGGACAAAUCGGUCUGCGAAGAAUGCAUAUAGCAGAAAAUGGAGCAGCAGAAAAAGACAAAACAGGGAUAAGACAAAAAGAGAAAAAAAAUAUAUAUAUAUUUAAAAAAACUAAACUAAAAUAUAUAUAUAUAUAUAUAUAUAUAUAUAUAUAUAUAUAUCUCUUCUUUUUUUUAUCCAAUGGGCUUAAAUUUUGGGCUUCCUCUUGGAUUUUGGUAUUAUGAAGGUAGCGCACUUCUACGGCACUUCAAUAUAAUAGCCGAUUAUGGUUAAUCAAUAGCAACUCAAUGUGCAUUGGUAUCCUGGAUUAUAUAAGGAAUCUCACGGAUCUUCGUGAUCAUCAAGUACGUAUUGCCAUCACGGUUAGGCCCAUGAGGAGACCAUGGGUGAAAAGCAUGUUGGCAUCGAUUGGCAAUAAUUAGAGAUUUGGGUCAAAAUUUGUCGGUGCAAAGGAACAUCGGACUUGGACUGAGGGGAAUUGGCCCAACGUGGUAGAGACGCACAUAUGAGGGGGAAUAUGUUGAGUGCCCAAGUGAGUUGUAUGAAAAUAAAGUAGUCCCAUAUUAGACGUCCAAAGUUAAAAGAAGCAAUAGAUAAUACCUAGUUAAGGAGGACCUUUCUUAUUUAUGAAGCCGGUCUAAUGAAAUGCCAUAAGAGGAACUCAAUCACUAAAUUGAUUCAUUAAAAUAAAUAAAUACACCCUCAUCUAUGUAUACGCAUGUUAAUGGAUCUAAAAGCAGUCAUACUUAUAUAGAUAAAAUGGGCUAUAUCUACAUAUGAUCAAUAAAAGAACUAUUUUGCCUCGUGUAUCAUCAAGAGGAUGAGAGAAAAGAGUAGGUCAUUAAAGAACGACAAUAAAAUUAUAAUGAAUAAAUAUCUGUGAAUCUUGCAUCGGUGCCUAUUCUAAUUAAAAGGGCAAAAUGACAUAAACAAUUUUUACUCGAUACCAGAAGAAAAGAAAUGGAAAAAAAUGUGUAAGCGCUCCAAUGCUUUCAGCCACUUUGUAUUUGACCAUUUCUAUUUAUUUCAACACCAAAUUAGAUUACAUAACAAUAAAUUGUGGAUACACGGUUAUCUUUGUAAUAAUGAUCUGUUAUACUAUGUAAGCCCAUUAUUACGUUAGCCUUAGCAAAAUAUAUUAUUUAAGGACUUCUUCUUUCCUUCUUCGUUAAUAACAAACAAGAAGGACCAAGAACAUUAUAAGGAAAGAACAGUGAACAUACACAAAGUAUUAGAUCAGUCCAUGGAAUGAAUCAUUAACAUUUGACUUGUUUGAGAUUAAUCAAUGGAAUAGACUCUUAAUGAUUGACUUGUUAUUGUGAGUUGAUAUUGUUGAUUGAUCUUAUACGUAAAAAGUUUCGUUGGAAAGAUAUUAUCCACUUUUGAUAUUUUACUUAUGUCUUAUACUGGAUUUUGGGUUGUGAGAUGAUAUCGAUUUAUAAUAAUUUGCAUAAAAAAAAAAUGCACUACUUAUUGGGUUGUGAUUACUCAUUUUUUCAUCUGACUUGCUUUUCAGGUUCUUCAACUAACAUUUUGAAAAUUAUAUCUUAAANNNNNNNNNNNNNNNNNNNNNNNNNNNNNNNNNNNNNNNNNNNNNNNNNNNNNNNNNNNNNNNNNNNNNNNNNNNNNNNNNNNNNNNNNNNNNNNNNNNNNNNNNNNNNNNNNNNNNNNNNNNNNNNNNNNNNNNNNNNNNGAUGGAUGGUAAUUAUGCUUAAGGUAGCGUCUUUGAGUAAAGGAUGCAUGUCAUGCCUUGUACUGUAGAGUGGGGGUGUGACAUACUCUAUUCUAGGACCGCAAGUCCUUCAGAUCUACAUUUUUCAUACUAGAAAAACCAAAUACAUGAAUUUUGAUUUCUGUUCCUGUGAAAUCUAUGUUUUCUCAAUUUGCAAGCUGUGGUGGUAUGCCUUGUUCCUUCAAAGGGCUGUUGACAGUGAGGGAACCAGCCUACAAUACUCUGCGAGAGCCCACAAUGGGUAAAUGUUCCUGUAAUUGGGAUAGUGCAACAUGCAGUUCUUGUUGAAAACCCCAGUGAUUUCCUGCAAUGCCAAAGUUCAUGCUUAGAUCAUGUUGUUUGGUUGUAAGGCAAUUCUUACCGAAUCAGUUCCCCCUCUCAAUCAGUUUUCUUUUAUUUGCACUAGUUCCUGACGAUGUUUUGAGGAGUUGAACCAAUUGUUUGUAAGAUAAGAUGCGUGGACCAUAAUCAUCUCUAGAUUUUCCUAGUUGUAUGGAUUAGUUCGCAGGAAAUUCUUUCCCAAGAUAUUGGUGGCGCGCACUCUCUUAUUUCCUAUGAUUUUAACCCUAUAUGAAAUCAACUUUCUGAAAGGUACAAACCUGUUGAGGGUAAUCACCGUCUUCCAUUUGUGAAUUGAUUAGCAGCUUUGCGGCACGGUGCAGGGGAGUCGGAUCCCUCUCUGCCUGAUAGUAGAUGAACCAAAGUCAGAAACUUCACAUUGAAUAUUGAUCUUUUACCAUCACCAAAGUAUGUUUAAUGCCAUGGAGACCAAAACGACACUAUCAUCAACUGACCUGCCCCGCGUGAAUCAGACCCAUCAUAGCCCAAGCGGUUUGCACCAGAUUUGAUCUGUUUCCUUCAAGCGGUACAUAUUCCUACAUCAACCCAUUUGGCAAACAGAAAAUUUAAGAUUUCCGUGUUGCCAGAAAAGCGUGCAACUAAAACAGCUAAAGCCAAACAUGCGGUGGAAGGUUCCUCUAGAAAUUACCUUCUUCGGGCAAGAAAGAUAGCUCUCUCCCCACCCGCCAUCCUGCAACUGUGUUCGUAGAAGAAAAGCGACUCCUUCGCGCAUAGCUGCGCAAUUGCUAUAUGUCUUACCAGCAGCCGCUAGUCCUCCAAGCGCAAACCAUGAGCCAUAUGUAAAACAAACUCCCCAGCACCCAUACCUGUAAGAAUUGCUCAGUUAGUCAGCUGUUUCUUUAAUUUAUCUGAAUUCUUCAGCAAUGCCCACUGGAAGAGGAACAUACCACGAGCCAUCUGGCUUUUGUACAUUCUCCAGAUACUUUACGGAAUUUGAUAUAAAAUCUGCAAUCUCCUUCUUCCUGUGCGCAGGAUACAACUUCCUGAACAAAACUAAAGCUUGGAUAGCUGAGGACGUGCAUUCAACAUAUUCAUGCUCGAUGACAAUGUCCUCAAAGAACUCUGUCGGAUUUAGGAGCUGCAAGUGACAAAUGAUGAGGAAGAAGUCCCGCUAUAGUAAUUUAUGAACAAACAGACAUGUCUUAGUCCGUGAGGACCACCAAGGAAUUCCAAAAAAUUUAUCAAGUACUUACUUCUAGCCAAGCUGGAGCUCCUGCAGGUUCCCAUGCUGGCAGUCCGCCAUUUUUACUCUGGAACAAGUGGCAUUCAUGGACGAUGUGAUGAUAUUGUAAAUAUAAUCAAACGCAACGAAAGAAUUAACUGGCAAUGUGAUUUUGGGAUGCAUAGAGCAAACAAAGCGUAGCCAAUAUUUCUUGUUUGAUCAAAGAUUUUCUCAAGUCUUUCUCAAGAAAGAAAAACAAUGGUAUACUCACUUGUAGAGAAAGCAAAAUGUUGACAGCGUCAUUCAAUUUCUCUGGCUCCAUCUUCUCACCAACAAUUUCAGGUGGCAUCAUUGAGAAAAGCAAGCAACACUGAAUAAAUAGGGAAAAAUUCAGUGAGAAACUGAGCAAUUUAGGAUUGGAUUGAACCUGCAGACACAGUGAAGGCAUUCAUUGGAGUAUUACCUUCAGACCUUCUGCAGUGCAAUCGGAGACUUGCCAUCCGUNNNNNNNNNNNNNNNNNNNNNNNNNNNNNNNNNNNNNNNNNNNNNNNNNNNNNNNNNNNNNNNNNNNNNNNNNNNNNNNNNNNNNNNNNNNNNNNNNNNNUAAUAUGACGGUGCAUGCUUGAAAAUCACCAGAAGGAUUGUCCUUGACCGGGAAUAUUAUGAACAGAUCGAUGCACUUCAGCUUAUGCGAGGAAGCAAAAGAAACUAGCAAGAUGUUUGGAGAUAAGCGAUGCUCGCAACAAUCAAAGAUCAAACCUGAGAUUUUUUUAUGAAGUCGUGUCCUCUAGCUAAUACCGGUGCUAUCUCCUCAGUCAUAUUACUGGCAAGCAAAGCUUGGAUGGCAAAGCCCGUGUCCCACUCUUGGCAACCAAAACUCUGCAUAUGAAUGAGCCAACAACCAAACUAAGCUUCACUCUAGACGGUUCCACUUUACUAAAUUAAUCAACUCCUUAUUAUAAGAAUGCUUCCACCUUUCAAAUAUGCAGCAUAAGCACCUAUCAUUUCGAAUUAAGCCCAAUUCUGUCAUAGUUCCGUGACACUACUACUAACCUGCAUCUUCAUUCCAUCUUCGGCAACCCAGAGGUAAUCCGGUAUCCUAGCAAGAUGCUUCUUGAAAUAAUCACUGUCUGGGUCUUCUACCCAGCAAGCAAGCAUGCAUAAAACCUGUCCGAGUCCAAAGCAAAAGACAAAUUCUUAGUAAGGUUUUCCCACGAUGCAAGAAUUUUACACUUACUGUGUCUUUCUCCUCAAAUUUAUGUACUCAUUACCUUUUCUACACAUCCGAUCGUGAUAUAUCGACUGUUCUCAUCUUCGUAGUGAAUGUGUUUCAUCGUCACCUGAAGAGCCUUUUCUCUAAGUUUAUUAAACGGCCAACGGUUAAAAAGAGGCUCUGCAAAUAUGUAAAGACUAUCCCAGAUCAGAUCCUGUACUAGGGGAUGGGGAUAGUAGAGAUCCUCCUGCAACAACAAUUCGAGUCAUUUUGUUAAAAAUUUUCUGACUCGUAAUCCAUCUGAUUCUAGAACGAUAUCUUGGACCUGUUAUGGAUACUUGCCUUGGCACAAAGAUGGCAGACUUUUCUCCAGCAAAUCGUGUCGUAGGGUUGAGUAUGAAGUUCUUCUCUCAACUGUUGAACAAGUGGUGUGAUGGGGCCGACGAAUCUUUUCCCAUACAAGUACGACAUGGGCAUGUACACCAUCCGACAGUAGCACCACAUCUUAGCUACAUCAUUCAAAACAGGACAUUCAGACGACAUAUCCAUAUAACUGAGGAGAAACGUAGUCACACGUAACAGAAGUUGAAGCUUUCUAUAUUUCAAGGUGAAUUCUGGAAGGGUGGCCAUUUCAAUAACAAGCCAAUGCCAUAUUCUUGUUUGUUCAGCAAAAUCACCGUGUUUUUCAAUUUGAAAAUAGUCCAAAAUUAUAUAUGCUAGACUACUAUAGAAUACCAUCAAGGACAAGAUCAAGAAAAUCUGCAAAAACAAACCUGGGUGCAUGGGCAGGAAUGAAGGCAAGAUCCAGAACUCAGGAGGCAUUGGGUUGGUUCCAGACCAAUCGAAAAGGCCGAAAAUCUACACAGCAUGUGACAAGCCAACACACAUGCACAAGCACAAUGUCACAUAUCCAAUUCACCCAAACACCUGCGCAGAACAAUGUGGAGCACGAAUUUUUGUCAAUUACUGAAGGAAGAGUGAGAGAGUACCGAGAGCCAAGUCUUGCCCCAGGAGGGUAUGUAGGUGACCCCACCACGGUCAAGAAUCCACUUCCUGGCCCGAGUACAAGCAUUGUCCUGGCCACCAUCAGGCCCUUCCCCGAGAAUGCGCAUGCAUAUGUAGCUCAGGGCCGUGCAGAACAUGGUGCUGUUACCUUCAAUGUGAAAGCCCCACCCACCAUCUCCAUUCUGCAACAAAAUUAAUGCAAAACACACAAACAGUUUCAAGACUAAGUCUUUCAAAGUUCCUCUGCUAUUUUCUCCAUCUGGGUGUCUUCCUUUUUGCGAAAAAAAGAGUACACCUGAUGGUUGUAGAGGUAGCGGAGAAUGGCGGUGCCUGGUCGGNNNNNNNNNNNNNNNNNNNNNNNNNNNNNNNNNNNNNNNNNNNNNNNNNNNNNNNNNNNNNNNNNNNNNNNNNNNNNNNNNNNNNNNNNNNNNNNNNNNNNNNNNNNNNNNNNNNNNNNNNNNNNNNNNNNNNNNNNNNNNNNNNNNNNNNNNNNNNNNNNNNNNNNNNNNNNNNNNNNNNNNNNNNNNNNNNNNNNNNNNNNNNNNNNNNNNNNNNNNNNNNNNNNNNNNNNNNNNNNNNNNNNNNNNNNNNNNNNNNNNNNNNNNNNNNNNNNNNNNNNNNNNNNNNNNNNNNNNNNNNNNNNNNNNNNNNNNNNNNNNNNNNNNNNNNNNNNNNNNNNNNNNNNNNNNNNNNNNNNNNNNNNNNNNNNNNNNNNNNNNNNNNNNNNNNUUUUGGAUUAUGACAGGGAUUCAAACAACUCUCCUAUUAGUUUACAAAUGAUAUACCGAGGUUCUAAAGUGAUUUUGUAUGUGGAAGACAUAAUUCCGUUCCUCCAGAAGUGUGUUUAUGAUAUGAUUUAUCAUUUUGUAAACAGCUUUCGGUAAAAACUAUCUGUCCCUCAUCGUUACAAGGGGCAACAGAGGUUAUAGACUAGUUAUCUACAAACCCCAAGUCUCGAGAUCGAUACGAUUGCUCAGCCCGACUAAUUUAUGAGAUCUAGCAUUUCUUCUUAGAAUAUGGUGACAAGCUCAUAUUAACAACACAACUAAGAAUUUUCACGUUUUGGUGGACUUGGGGGAUUGAGCUAGAGCGAAAUUUUUGGAAAGGAAGAAGAGCCCAGAGGAGAGGGCGUGUGGCCAUGGAUCUUCUCCUUCAAAAUAGAGGCCCGACAGCAACUGGAUAGCACGCUAUCUCCGUCACCGAGACUAAAUACAAAAUUAGCUAACAUAAUUGGGAAUUGAUUCUACCUAUCCAUGUCAAGUUUGAUAUGUAUGCCCGUGUACAAUGUACAGUUGCCUCUUAGUAAGCCUGUUGCUACAUGAGAACGAGUAGGCAUGUAUGUGUGUUCAAGUAAGUGGUGUAUAUUAUGUAUGGGUGAGCAGUUUCAAGUUUUAUACAAAUUGUAUAUGAAAUCUGAAACAUAUUCGUUGAAACAGCUUCCUCAAUUUUUGGAAAUUAGAACCUACUCCGCAUACCUUAGAACUUGGAACUUAUCUUGUUAUAGGUUCUAAGAUUAGUUCCAGGGUCUAUUCAGGUUCCACCUAUAUUAUUAAUUAAACUAUCGUAAUGAAUUUAAACUUUUAAUGACCACAACUUGCUGUUACAAUUUACUAACCAUAAAGACAAGAAAAAUAUGAACAUUAAUAAAGUAAAAGUCUCAGUCAUAGAAUGUAAGCUCAAAUUAAUACUUCUAGAUUAUACACUUAUCAUCGAAUAGUAUGGAACGUCGUAAGAUCACACGAAGACAUGAACUAAGAAAAUAUUAAAACUUAUUCUAGGUUUUAGGUUACAGGUUACAUAUUCCAAGUUUCAUAUCCUCCAAGUAAAAAGUCGGAAUCUACCGGUUGAAAUAGAUUCAUUAUUUUUUGGAANNNNNNNNNNNNNNNNNNNNNNNNNNNNNNNNNNNNNNNNNNNNNNNNNNNNNNNNNNNNNNNNNNNNNNNNNNNNNNNNNNNNNNNNNNNNNNNNNNNNAACCUAUAAGUUUCCAUCGGUCUGAUUCUCAGUUCCAGAUUUUGCCCUAGAACUAUGCUCACUCCUAAUGUUAUGUACCUGCAUGCGCCAAAGGAGGUCGCCACAGGCCUUGACUUGGUGGCGGUGGUCGUAGAAGUGCUGGCAGGUGGCCUCAACCUCGGCACGCUCCUCAGCGUUGCCAGCCUCAGGGUCGAACUCCCAAGUCUGCCUCCCCACGUAGUUGUUGGUGCUGUACAAGUAGGGGCCAUCCUCUCCUUCUGCUAUCUUCAGCUUCCACAUGCUGAGGUCUUCUCUUUUUCUCUCUUCGUUCAGCUGAUUAUAUUGGAACUCUCCUGUACUGUCCUUCCUGAUGAUCAUGCAAAUGAACAAGUAAAACAACCCGCACAAGAAAAUGAUGAAUGAGUUGCCAGUUGCCACAAACCAAAAGUCAUCGAUGAACACGGUCGCUAUAUAUCCAUGAACUAUGCUUGUUCUCUAAGGUUAUGUCACCAUGUGCAUGCAUAUCGCAUUAUAGAUAUCAAAAUAUAUCCCGCAGUGAUCUUGGUUUAGCAUGGCUAAAGCAUGAACUUAUCAGACAGACAGACAAAGAGACACCUCUUUUGACUGUGAGGGAUAUGUGAGAGUUGUUGAGAAAAUAAUCAAGCUCCCUCUCCAAAACCAAGUGUUGCUGUGGUCUUCAGGAGAAGAAAGGGACCUCUAUUUAUACAAUAUCUUCAUGUUUUGUCUCGACUUUUCAGUAAAGCAACUGGGCCAUGUCCUUGAACUUAGCGAUGUCGAGGACGACAAGGAAAGACGGGCUACUGGUGCCGUAUGAAUAUGGCUUUCCACGCUCAUAACUGAAAUAACUUUUGAAUCCAUUCGAGUGUCCCCCGCCAAUCGCUUAGACAGACAGGCAGAGACACCUCUUUUGACUGUGAGGGAUAUGUGAGAGUUGUUGAGAAAAUAAUCAGGCUCUCUCUCCAAAACCAAGUGUUGCUGUGGUCUUUAGGAGAAGAAAGGGACCUCUAUUUAUACCCACGUUUUGGGUCGCCAGCUUCCUUGUAAUUUCUUUAUCUCAUUUAAAAUAGUACUCAGGGUUUGCCAAACAAAAGUAAAAUAAUGCUAGAUAUAUCAUCCCUAAUAAGAGCCAUGGCUUUUUCCAUCCUCUGAUUGGGUAGCAAUACCGGAACGGGCAUACAAACUUGACCAUGAAUAGCUUUCAUCAGCUCAAUCCUGCGGAGCUUCCAUAUCAAGUUGUAAUAUCAUUGGUCACCGUCCAUAGUCUGAUAUAAAUGUAUAUGUAUUGUAAGACAUUCGUAGAAAUGAAAAACGUAUAGUACAUAACACGUUUAUUUGGCCACACAGUAUGUAGAAUUGCAUCACCAUAGAAGCAUCGUUUGCUUCACGGGAAAUGGGAUCUAAGUUCAAAAGAAUGUAAUUACAGUCUUUUGAAAGUACAUCCUACAAAAUAAGAAUAAGGUUCUUGAGAAUUCAAAUCCAAUUAAAAUGCGGUAUCAAAUUACUCUCACAGUCUUGUUAUUAUGAUUUCGAUUCCGUGGCUUCCUAAUUGCGACAUGUAUACUUCUUGUAAUAAAUUAUGAAAGAUGUUCGCAACAAAUUAGUGCUGACCUGCGAGCAUGAGCUCCUUUCCUCUAUUACUAAUAUAGGGGAUUGAGAUUACAUGAUUGUGAAUACAAAUAAGUAAAUACCGUCAAUCUUCUCAAAAGUACGUGACAAAAUUUUUGGCUUUACUUUGAUAACUCGAAAAUUCUGUUAUCAUGUAGAUAUACCGACCAUAUUAUGAAUGAGAAAACUUACAAAAAAAAAUGACCUUUGGAAUUACAAGAUUUUGUGAAAAAACUCACAUUUGUCCGCUAUCUAAAAAUAAAUAAAUAAAAACUACAUUUUUGUGCAGUGAUAGGUCGUGACGCUACCAUAACUUUGAUUUAUAAAUGACAAUUGAAUUGGCAUUUUGUUGAUUAAUAAAUGAAAAGAUGUUAACUAAAUUGAAAAUCGAAGUAAUCUUUCCAGAGUACAUUAAGGCAUGUGCUCUAUACAUGCAUACUACAUUAUACUUUAAAAGAACGAGUAUCUUCUAAAAAGUUUAGUGAAGGUGUGAAAGGGGAUAGGAUUUUAUUAAAAGUCAUGUAUAUAUGCUUAAUAAAAGUAAGAACAAUAUUCAUCGCAAAUUUAAAUAUUUUGUUAAAUUAUGACCAGAAGGUUACCGGUGAAAAACGUUAACUUUUUGUUAUGAAAAUCUAUUAACGUGGUUCACACAAGACAAAAUCAUUGAAAAUUCUGAUUGAUGUGAGGAUUCGAUUGAGUAGUCAACUGUACUUUUCUAUGUCAAAAUCAGCGGCCCUUUUGUGCAUUAUUCUCCUGUGGUAAACAUGUAAGAGGUGGACAAAGGCAAGAAGGUCCUUAAAGGUGGGCGAGAAAAAUUUGACCUCGGUAGGUGUGGAAUUAGUCCUCGUGGUUGCGUGGAUAUCUUUGAUUUACUUCACUGAAUAUUGUCCAGACUCAAAUAAACAUCAAAUUUCUGAUGUCGACAUCACCCGUCGAUGUGAAUGGUGUGAAAGAAAAGAAGUCGAAUGUCAAAUAUCCAAAGUUAAAAAGAAGCAAUCGAUGAUGCCGCAUUGGCCUAUGACUCGAUAAGUCAAGCGUUAUUUUUCUUCUUCCGUAAAGCAAGGUCAACUGGGCUGUCGAUGGCUUCGAAGUCAUGACUUCCCUCUAGGAUCUCCUUCCCUCCAUAAGUGUCACGCACUUGGCACUCUUUCAACGCUCUCAGCACGUUUAGAUCUCCGGUCUUCUCGAAGUUGCUGACAAGACACGAAGAAAUUUCGACCGAGAAUCCUGCGUCCCUCCCUCGCCAGCCUCAAGGCACGGUCAAACAAAGCCCCCUCCACCCACCAAACUCCUCGAAACGUAGCGAAAAUUCGUACAAGUGACGGUGGAUCGUGAACCUACAUAUCCCUUCUAUUUCGCGCCUUCAGUUCUGGAGAACCUAGCUCGGGCCUCAAUCAUAAUCACCUGCAUUUCACGAGGCUCGUGAGGCGCGAAGUGCGCAUAAGAACCCAUUUUUUAAUGGGGGUUUCAUGGUCCCGCACCUGAAACUUACGCCUGCCUUUGUGGAAAGUCGAACCGCGAGAGACUUUCGACCCGGCAAUACAAUAUUUUCAUGUUUUGUCUUGACUUUUCAGUAAAGCAACUGGGCCAUGUCCUUGAACUUAGCGACGUCGAGGACGACAAGGAAAGACGGGCUACUGGUGCCGUAUCAAUAUGGCUUUCCAUACUCAUAACUGAAAUAACUUUUGAAUCCAUCCGAGUGUCCCAUGCCAAUCGCUUAUUGAUUCAUCCGUGGUCUCAUGUAGAUGUGGCAAGAUCGAUGGUGGACCCAUAUUUUAACUAGUAAUUAAUAUCGUCGGUGAUAUAUGAGUUACCUAAUAUUUGAAAUAUAGGAAAGAAUGAGUCUAAUAAACCAAAAGACCAGUUAAUGAUAGGUUUAUGAUGGGUUAAGAGAGAACCCGCUUUCAACCCAUUUAAUCAAAGAGUAAUGGGGAGGCAUCUUGCUCUCACACUCUCUACUGCAACAUUAUAGAAAGCAAGCUGUAUUAACUUCUUCAAUUAAAAGUACCACCAAGACAUGCAUUCGUGUAGUCUCAUGAGGGUAGUCUUAUGAGGGCGCACUCAAGAGCACGGCCCGUGAUGACCGUUCCAUCCUGAGGAACGAGAAAAUGGUGCACCGGAGAGAAACCAGUGGAGUGCCAAAAAAGCUUUGCCCGACAGCGCCAUUCAAGUCACGCUCGAUUCGGGUCCUUUAUUCCCUCUAGCCUAGGUUGCAACGAAUUAGUACCAACCCAUGGGCAUGAGAUCCUUUCCUCUGUUAGUUACAGGAUGGAAAUUACACGAUGCGAGAUACGGACGGAUGUAUACCGUCAAUUUUCGAAAAAGUACGUGACUGAAACUCGGCAUUACUUUAAUAAUAUAUCAGAAUGAUGUUAUUAUAGGUUUAUUCUAAUUACAUUAUAAAUGAGAAAGAACUUAUGCAAUCCUUCACAUUACAUGAUCGCGUAAAAAUCUCACAUCUAAUAAAUAAUUUCACUGUACUUAUGUCUGCUAAAGAGACAAAAUCCAUAUUUUUGACAUUUUCAAACCGCUUUCGCAUUGUCGUCACAAGUCACUAACUUGACACAACCUCAUAAUUCUCUUGUUGUCGACCAAGCUAUCGUACUGCCAAGCCAUCAUUGUUACUUUAAGUUCAUGCCAGUGGCAAACCUUUUCAUGUUAAUUCCCUUAACUUGCUUUGAUCAUUGGCAAAUCCAUUUUUGUAUUUGAGAAGGGGGCAACCUAAUUCACGGAAUUACCUUUUGAGUAAAAUUGAAUCUAAUGCAAUUCGGCGCGAGUUCUUUUCAUUUAUCUUUUGAUGACAGUUUGGUUAUUCCUUUCAAAGUAGUAGAUGUGGAAAAUCAAUUCAUUUUAGGAAAUGGUGAGCUGACAGUACCGUUAGUCCUUCAAACGAAACGGUGGCUUAUCCGUUUUCAAUUCUCCAUCUUGAAUGAUAUGAGCAUAUCCAUUUCUUGAAAUAGAAUUAAUGCUCUCUCAACAUCUUAUCUAAAUAUAGUACUGUUAGGCUAGCAAUGCUAUUUUUGUCCAAUGAUCUCGCGAAAAUAUUAGGUGGUCCCACUCAACCACAUUAGUAUAGUCUAGCUGCACUCAUCGAGCGACUGGUGAAGCCAUGUCAGAGGGUAAGUCCCACUGAGAUAGAUCUGAAAAUUGUCUCUAAUAUUUCUUCUUCUUUUUUUAACGGAAACUACAAUUAAUUUAUAGAAACAUUACAACCAGCGUCCAUUACAUCCGAAAUAAGUAGAUCUAAUAAGAUAGGAGGGGGAUAGGAGAGCCAAGACAAAGGUAAAGUCCCGCCCAACUGGGCCUUUGCAGCCCAGUCCGCAACCGAGUUGGUUGUACGAGGAACAAACCUAAUCUGCAGUUGAGAGAAACAGGGGAGAAGAGCAACCACUUCGUCAAACAUGGACCGAACCUCCCAUGGAGUCUUCCGAGGAUUUGCAACUGCUUCAACCAUUGCAAGGCAGUCCGAUUCCAAAAUCAACGGAUCGUUGGAUUUGCCGAGUCGCCAGAGAUGGUGCAGCGCCGAAAGGAGGCCAGAAACUUCAACCUGCAAAGCUGAGGCAGCAGUAACUCGAGAGGUAUAUCCAUCCACCAUUUCGCCCGUAUGAUUUUUGCAAAUGUAAGCUAUUGCUCCUCUGGUAUCAGCAACCUGAAAAGCCCCAUCAAUAUUGACUUUCAGAACACCUGGAUCAGGGGGGCCGCCACAGAGAAGAUGGAGCAGAAAGGUUGAUUUCGGGGUUUAAAGCGUUAGAGGAGGUAAGUUGGUUUAUCCGUGUUGAUCGGGACUGAGCUAACGUAGAUUCAACCACAAAGGAUGGAUCGGGCUUCUGACGAGUAAAGAUGAACCUGUUUCGCGCCUUCCAUGUUUGCCAGAGAAGUGCAGCGACAACGUCCAUACCAGGUAACAGCUGUGUAUUUCGAAAUCUAGCUGCAAGCCAAUCUGUCAGUGUUGUGCAUCUGUUUGAAGAAUACUGAUAGCGAUCUUAGGGUGAGACCAAACUGCUUUAGUCCAGGGGCAUAGGAGAAAUAGAUGCUCGAUCGAUUCAGGAACUUCCUGAGAACAUAAUAUACAUGUGGGGUCUGAACUGAUAUGUCUGUUAAAAAGAUUGGCUUUGGUUGGGAGAGCAUUAUGACAAACAGACCAAAGGAAGAGUCGGAGUUUAGGGACAGUUUUAAGACCAUAAGCUCUUCCAAAUAGGCUCAGAUGGUUGAAUGGAAGAUGAUAAACUAUGAUAUGCACUCUUAACAGAAUACUGACCCUGAGGAGUAGCUGUCCAAAUUAACUUAUCUUCAGUGCAAGUAGAACUAAGUGGAAUAUUAAGAACUUCUUUGGAAACCUGUUCUUCAAAUAACUGAUUAAUGAGAGGACCAUUCCACUGAUUCAGACUCGGCAACAUCAAAUCUGCCACCAGUCGUGGCUCAUUACUAUUUGCAGGUCCACUAAGAAUUCCCAUAGGUAGCCAUCGAUCUUCACGAAUACUAAUCUUUGUGCCAUCCCCCAUAGACCAUUAUAGCUUUGGUAAAAUGGAAUCCCUCCCUAAUAAUAAGCUCUGCCAUCCCCAGGAAGGGCGGUUACCUUUUGCUGCACUCCUAAAGUCUUGUGAGUGGAAAUAGAGACCUUUGAAAAGCUUACUCCAUAAGGAUAAAGGAGAUUUGAUUAGUCUCCAGGCCUGUUUACCAAGCAUCGCUUUAUUAAAAGCUAUUAGGUCUCGGAAUCCUAGACCACCUUGCUCCUUUCUGAUCUUUAGGGACUCCCAAUUUCUCCAAUGAAUGCCCUUCUUUGUGCUGUCAGAAUGCCACCAAAAUCUCGCUAUAUUUUGUUCAAUGGAUCGACACAGAGAUAUAGGAAUCUUAAAAAUGGACAUAGCGUACUGAGGAAUAGAUUGGACGACACUCUUUAUAAGGACUUCUUUUCCACCUUUCGAUAUCAUUUUUUCCUUCCAUCCAUCUAAUUUGGAAUUAACUCUUCCCAAAAUCCAUGAAAACAUAUCUCUCUUAGACCGACCACAAUCUGACGGAAUGCCUAGGUAUUUUCCAGUCUUAUGAAGCACAGGGAUUCUGAAUUGGUGUGCUAGAUUGUUCUGAAGUGUGGAAGGAUAGGAUUUACUGAAAAAGAUGCCUGAUUUAUUUUGAUUGACUUCCUGACUGGUAGCUAAACAAUAUUGGUUCAAAAUGUUAGCUAGAUUUUGACAUUCCAUAGUUGUCCCGUCUAAGAAAAAGAUAGCAUCAUCUACAAAAAGUAAAUGGGAUAGAGUAGGACACCACCUAUUCAAUUGGAUUCCCUUGAGAUUACCCAUUUCAAUGGCUUGAGAUAUUAAGGUUGACAAUAGAUUCGCCAUUAAUAUGAACAGAUAAGGGGAAAGUGGAUCACUUUGUCGAAUGCCUCGUGUAGGUUGAAAAUAGUUAAGUUGAUCUCCAUUGAACUUGAUAGAUAUAGAGACUGUCGUAAUACAUUGCAUCACCCACUUCACCCAAACUGGAUGGAAACCUAAUAUGAGAAAAUAAUCGUUCAAGAAGUCCCAUUCCACUCUGUCGUAAGCUUUUUGCAUGUCCAUUUUUAAAAUUGCCUGAAAAUGUUUCUUUCUAUUCCGGGUCUUCAGUUGGUGUAGCACCUCCUGAACAAUCAAGAUAUUGUCCUAGAUUUGGCGGCCACUCACAAAGGCGCUUUGUUCAGUAGAAAUCAGGUCAGGCAGGAGGGGUUUGAGUCUGUUAGCCAAGACUUUGGAGAUGAUUUUGUAAGCAUAGUUACAUAAACUUAUGGGACGAAAUUGGUCUAGGCUUUCCGGGUUAGGGACUUUGGGGAUCAAAGAGAUAGUGGUCCUAUUUAAAUCGACUGGUAUAACUCCUGUUUUAAAGAACUCCUGAAUAGAAAGAAUAAGGUCAUCCUUAAGUAUAUCCCAGUGAGUUUGGUAGAAGAUACCAUUUAAUCCGUCAGGGCCUGGUGCUUGAUUUUUACCCAACUGAAAAGUAGCUAUUCUGAUCUCUGCUGAUGUGAUCUCUGCAACUAAGCUAUCAUUCAUUGUAGGAGUAACGACACUUGAACAUUGGUUCAGAAUAGGGCCAUAGUCUCAGUGUCCUGCUGACCUGUAGAGAUUUGAAUAGAAAGCCAUAGUCAUACCCUUGAGAACCUGCUCAUCUCUUACCCAUUCUUGGUUGUGAUCUAGUAACAUGCUAAUCUUGUUCCUUUGUUGACGCUGCAUAGUAGUUGCAUGAAAAAAACCUGGUAUUUUUGUCGCCCCACUUUAGCCAUUUUAUUCUAGAACGCAUGGCCCAAUACUGCUCCUCUUGCUGCCAUGCCUCUUGUAGUUGUUGCUUUAACUUGUCUGCUAAGUUUCUGUCAUGUGAGCUGCUAUUCUGAUUAGUCAAAAUUUUCAAUUGCUGUUGUAAGUCUGCGAUCUGUGAUUUGGUGUUUGAAAACGUACUUCGACUCCAUUUAUUUAGAGCUAAGCUGACCAGGCGUAGUUUGUAUGGCAGAUCGCGGCCAACUGUCACAGCGGAGGCCCAAGAAGUAGCUAUCGUUCUACUGCAGUCCUAGUGUUCAAUCCAGUAAGCCUAAAAAAGGAAAGGCUUGCCUCUUCUGCUUUGUUUAACUUCUGUGCUCAACAGCAAGGGAUUAUGGUUAGAGCCCACAGCAGGUAAUGCCAAAACCUCAGCUUCAGGGAAAAUUAAUCUCCAAUUCAGAUCACACAACACUAUCUAACCUUUCUUUUACCAGUUCAUUGCCUUGACGGUUGUUCAUCCAGGUAAAAGCGCUACUUUCAAGAUCCAUGAGUGCAUAGUCAUGUAAUAUGUGACAUCUCAAAUUUUCAACCCUGUCUUCUAUUGAAUAAAUCGGGCAUUUCAUUGAUGCGUCUAUAGGGUUAUUCUCAGAGCCGAUCACUCUCGAGAUAACUAGACUAUCUGGGAAAAUUAUUAAGGAAUUUUAAGGCAAUAGACUUUAGAACUCGAUCAAGAAUCGGCUUCUCAACCGUGUCCAUCUUUAGAGGCCAUUACGGCACAGUUAAAAAUCGAUUUGAAAUCAGAGAUAGACUGGAUCGACAGAGAUGUGUGGCUAAUCGUGGGUGACACCAUUAAAUUGGAAAAUUCUCGUCGGCCGACACUAGACUGAUUUUCUUAUUGUUUUGGUACCCUAUGUUCGUAAUUGAAUCCUCGAGAUUUUCACGACAAUCAAGAGUCGCCAUUGAGUCGAGUGGGUUCAUAGUGGUUCGAAGAAAAUCGACCACGAGUCAUUUGCCUUAAAAAGUUUUGAAAACUAUCCGAUAGUCUAGGUCACGCUAAAAACGCGCCGAAUGAAAAUUAACCGCCAAUUCGAGUCCGAUUUCAGAAAUUGAAGUUUUGGCCAUGUCACAAUAAAUUUUAGGAGCAUCGACUCAGUCUCAGAAGAUUUUUCUGACAGCUGGCACUUUUUGGGAAAAAGUCGUUUCCGGGUUGUUUUAGUGCAGAAAAUGCCGGAAAUGGUUUUCAGUUGCAAAAUUGAGAUGCAUGUUGGAUGCAUGAGUGAAGAAAAAUAACGAGUGAAACAUUGAGGCGUCGAUUGAUUUUUUAUGAAGCCAAAUGAGGAUGAAUUGAGAUUUUUCAAGUGUCCAAUUGAGAGGAGAUGAUGCCAAUUUCGUAAUCCCCUUCCUCUAGCCCAAAAUUGACCAAUUGAGAAGUUGUGAGAGUUGUUGGUGUGGCCUAAUGAAGGCCAAGGGUUAAUGCUUGGCCUAGAUUGAUUGUUGAAGAUAUUUCUUGUGGAAAAUUGGCAAGGAUGGCCCACCCUCUCUCUUAUCUUCUUCCUCACGCACGGCUCCUCUUCAUUUUAACUCUGCGGUCUCAGCUUCUGCUUUAUUUCUUUCGGUCGAAGUCCAGCCCAGCAAAGCCUCCUCCGCGUGUCUUCCUCAACUCCACGAACGCCCUGCUUCACUAGCUCUUGUCGCCCACCAACAAUCCGCACGCCCGUGUCCCUCCUGCUUUGGCCACGUCUACAGCAACUGGUCAUCAAUUUCUCCACGAAGACCCAAGCUACUGAAGCGUUGAAGAAACCCUGCAACGCCAACGAAGAUCCCUGCAGCAGUUCCACCGAAUUCUCCCUGCCAGCAAAGCCCAUUUUCGUUUGUCUUUGUUUCCACCGAAGCUGAUCCUGCCGAGCUUGCUGCCACUUGGCCGUGUGUACGUCUGGUUCGGUCAACAACAGCUUCAAUUGAAGCUCUCGGUUGACCGCUUAAAGCCCACGAUUCCACCGAGUUGGUCGGCCACUCACGCCACACCAACAGAGAAGCCGCAGGAACGGAGGCAGUCAACCACGCCAUCCACCGAAGACCAAGACUCCCUCACGCUGCCAGGCGUCCGCCAUCGUCCACGAGCGGCUUCCGUCUUCAGUCUUCUCCAGCGGCGUGCCCUCAGCCCUCACGAAAUUGUCGAGGCCCAUCUCACCAGCAACGGCCCAGCGAAGCCAGCGAAAUCUGCAAGCUUGAGUCAGUCCAAAUUCAGCCCUGCAGAAAUUCAAGUCAGCGACUCCUUCGCUGGAUUCCUCUUGCGGGCAGCCCAGCAGCUCAAUUGAGGCCCAAGUGAAUUCGCAAGCCCAGUUUUUGAGGCCCAAAAAUCUAGCAACUCCAUUAAGCCCAAUCGCAGCUAGACCCAAGUCCAAGAGCAAGCCCAUUCCAGUGCAAGGACAAAUCUCAUUUGGGCUGAGAUUUGUUGGGUCAAACUUAAGGCCCGGUCCAAGCCUGCCGGUGUUGUCGAAAGUCCAAUUUCGGCCGCCGUCACGUCGCCGUCGCGGUGAUUCGAUCUCCGCUGUUGUCAAGUGAGUUUUACUAACUAAAGCUUUCUUAGUUUGCUAAUUAUACUUAAGGUUGGUUAGAUUUAAUUAAAUGUAAUUAGGUGGUUAGAUUAGUUUAGAUCAAUUAAAUUAGAGACUUAAUGAUGCAUGUUAGGUGGUUAGAAAUAGGCAUUAGAAAGUAGACAUGCCAUGUUAUUUAUGGAACGAGUCUCGGUAAUUUUCUGGGCUUGUCUCGGUAUCCAAUUCGGCAUUAUGAGCCUGAAUUGGAUUUUUAUAAUUAUUUAUUUAAUUUUCGAAAUUAAUUAUUUAAUUAUUUAUUUUUCCGGAAAUUCAACCGGAUGGCCGGUGACCGGAAUUUCGUGCUGAUUGUCGUGGUGCAGUCCGUUUAUUUAUUUGAGCUUUAUUUGGUGCUAAAGUAAUUUAUGAGUGAAUUUAAGAUUUAUUCCUAAGCUAGAUCUUGAGAGGGUCGGGUGGGACCGAAAAGUCACUAGAUCUUGAGAGGGUCGGGUGGGACCAUAAAGCCACUAAAUCUAAGGAAUUGCUUGAAGUAGGAUGAAUGACCUAGAAAGGGUCCGACUGACAUAAAAUCGACUAGGUCGAUUUGAUCGAUGCUUCGAUCGGUGAUGUGAUUGUUUGAAUGCCUAUUGAACUGUACUAAUAUGCAGAUGGAAUCUGAGGCCAAGGUAAGUCCUCCAACUCGUGCCGUGUUUAGGCAGCCUAUAGUGUAUUGGCUUUCUAAUCGAGUCUUAGGGGGUAGGACUCGCUGAGACGUGGUUUCAUUAGUUAUUGAAUAACCAUUUCAGGACCCUAAGGAGAAGCUGAGGAGGAGGAACCUAAAGAGAAGAAAGACUUUUGAAGAAGAAGAUGAUCCAAAGAGGGAUCUUGAGUAUAACCCGGAUGUGGACUGAGAUCCCAUCCCUUUUUGUAAACCCUGUCUUAGCAUAGAUAGGUGUGAGACAAGUAUGUUGUAAAUAGUAUUGUAAAUAUACUAUGAGUUGCGCUGUUAAGGAAAGUGUGGUUGUGAAUUUCAAUAUGAAGAAUAUGGCCUGCAUUCCUAUCUCAUUGUUUUAUUGUCUGGGGAUUUAUAACUGCUUCCGCAUGUGCUUAAUAAAAAGAAAGGGUCGGCGAUACAUAGUCUUGGGAUAUCGCAUUCUAAAAUCGACCAAGUAGAAGGAUGUGCGCGCGUCCAAGGAUCGGGGCGUGACAUAAUACUUCUCUGAAUGAAUGUAUGCGGUGAGAGUUUGCAGCUCGUUUCCCCACUUUCUCCCAUUGAUUAAUAAUCUCAUUGAAAUCUCCAGCACAAACCCAAGGUAGAGAGUUGAUGGACGCAAUUUGGCGAAGUGCAUUCCAGAACAAUUUUCAAGAUUGGAAUGACGCUGGUGCAUGUAAGCAAGUGAGCUUCAUCGUAAUACCUUUCCUAGAAUCUGUACAUAUAGUAUCCAAAAUGUGCUGAUUAGAGUCUUCUACAUAUAGGGAAAUAUGAGACUGCCGGAACAUAGCCAGUCCUCCAGCAAGUCCUAUAGGAUUAAUGAAGUGAGAAUUUGGGAAUUUCAGACGACGCUGAAGAAGAAUUAGAACAGCCUCUGUGUUCUUCGUCUCCAUAAAAAAAACCAGGUCAGGCUUCUCUUUGACCACAAGGGCCUUAAGGGCUUGAACUGUUAGGGGAGAGCCCAGUCCUUGAACUGUUAGGGGAGAGCCCAGUCCCUGACAGUUCCAACUGAGUAGCUUCAUUUUGUAGUCGGUGGCUUUUGAGGGAAAGCCACCUCAACCCACUUAUCGGCAUCUUCAGCUGAAAUAACAGGAGUUUCCAGUAGUAAAUUUUCAUCAAGAUCUUCAAGUAGAGGAAUGCGCGAGUCAUGGGAACUUUGUCUUUUAAAUUUCUUUGAAAUCCCUGCUUUGGUUGAUAAUCUAGUAUACUUAUGUUUCUUUUUCGAUGCAUCCUCAACUAUCAGGUUCUGAAUGCCUUGCUGAUGGACAGGUGAGGGAGGAAGUGCUACCUUUAUGGAAGACAUCGAGGAAGUGCUUACUGGAAGGAUUGGAGGAAACAGAGCAGCCGUAUUAGAUUGAAGUGACGUUCUGUGAUGGUGCUGAUCAUCGGUAUCCCUAUCCUUAAUAGUUAGUGGAAGUUCAGUGACUCCUUUCAUCUUUUGUGCCGCAGGUAUAAUAGCACUAGUCGAGGGAGACGCAGAUUGUUGACCUUCAGGACAGAGAUGCAGGUUAGGCUGUUGAUGUGCAGAGGAGUAAGAGUAGGACUCAUCUGUUUGUAAUUGAUGUUUCACUGAUAUAACUUCUAUAGGAGGUAACGCCGGGAGUUUAUUGGUCAUUGUAGGAGGAGUUUCAGGAAUCACUUCUUCAGUAUCUUCAGAAUCAAUAUUCAUCCCGUAACAGGUAAUCCAAUAAGGACUGUGUUCCUUGACCUCUGCUCUUAACCACUGUCCAAAUGCCAUUUUCUCUUUGCCUGUCAUGUUCGCUUCAGUAAAUGGAAUUUCUUGACAAUAAGAAGCAUGGUGUCCGAGUCGGCCACAGGAAUAGCAAAAAUGAGAGAGUCUUUCAUAACGGAAGUCUAGCCAGAAAGUCUUACCAGCUAUUCGAAGUAAUUGAUCUGUUUUCAAAGGUUGAGCUAGAUCAAGUUCUAUUCGGACACGCGCAACUCGGAUAGUAGUGCCUUCCUUUUUAUCAAUUUGCACCUGAAUCACUCUGCCUACACUCUUAACCGCUUUACAGAGCAUUUGGUCUAAACACCACUCAAGGGGUAGUCCAAAAACUUGUACCCAGAAUGCGCAUGUAGUAAAAUCAUAGCAAUGUAAAGGUGUAUUUGGUUUCCAAGGCUUAAGAAUUACCAGAUGACCAGCAAAAUUCCAUGGACCACUCUCUAGCACUCUCUGUUUUUCACUUGCUAAUUUAAAGGUUGCGACAAAAAGACCAGCUUCACGUUGGGUAAUUUCAACAGUGUCUAUCUUCCAAACUCGGCUUAGAGUACUUUGAAGAGCAUGAGUAUUGAUAGAAGGAUUUGAAAGAAGUGUACCUACUAACACAUUUCUGCAUUCGUGCAGCUGUUCCGUCGGAGGAGGUUCAUCCCAGACGUCAAUUUCAUAUUCAGACCACAGACGUCCCAUUCUGCUACCGAGGGCAGCCAGACGCGAUUCUUCACUCAGAUGAUGGGAAUCCAUAACUUGAUUGCGAAGCUAACGGCUGAAUUAGGUCAGAAGGGGCUCGGACAUGAUGAGGCGAUGGCAGAAAAAACUGUAUAAAGAGAAGAAAAAGGGAAAGGUUUGGGCAGAGAACAUAGGAUGAGUAGGGAAUUGAGAAUGCAUGGACGUUCGCUUGUGUAAAUGAUGCUGAAUUGGGGAUUCAAACGAACAAUGGUUGGAAUCGGAACUUCAAAGGAGAUGAAGAAGCUAAAGACUAAACGAAGAGAAGAGAGAUGUAGAGCAAGCGGUCGCUAAGUUCAAUCCAUCGGUAAUGGAGGAAAUACCAGAAGGGUUAAGGAUUAACAGUGAGGGUUUGAGAUGAAAACUACCAUUAAUGGUAGAGAUAAGCUCUGCAUGUCGAGAGAGUUUUUGGUGACACAACAAGACUUCAUUGUCUCUAAUAUUUCAGACCACGUAAUAUGUUCUCAUGGCUCGGUGGUGAUCAAGCUUGGUCGACAGCAAGAGAGUCGACGGUGGCCUAAUCAGUGACAGCAAUGCUGAGCGAUUUGACAAUGUCCGAAGUGGCGACAACAGCGAUGAUUAUAUCACGACUUAUUAACAUGCAAAAAUAUAGCUUUCUCUUGAUUUUCUGUUAAAUACCAAAGUAACCACACAUUUUAAUUAAUAGAUGCGAGAUUUUCACAGAAUCUUGUAAUUUGAAAGGUCCUCCACAUGUAUGCAAGUUUUUCUUAUUUAUAAUAUAGUUGGUAUAAACCUAUGAUAACAUCAUUCUUAUAUGUUAUUAAAGUAACGCCUAAUUUUUGUCUCGCACUUCGGGAAAGUGACAGUAUAUAUCCAUCCGUAUCCCACAUGGUGUUAUUUCAUUCCCUAUAUUAAUAGCAAAGGAAGUUCAUGCUCACAAGUUAGUAUUGAUUUGUUGUAACCUAGGUUAGAGGGAAAUGCACAAACACGUUUGCCAUUUUUUUUCUUUUUACUUUCACGUUUGUUAAAGAUAAUUAUGAUAUAUAUAUGUAUGUAUAUAUAUUCUUAAUUCCUCAUAUCUGUUAAGGUUGCGUAUCUAUAUCCAUUAAUUAUGCAUGCGAUUGCUUGAUUAGAAUUGAUAUUUAUCUUAAAAAGCCAAUACUAAUGUACUAUUCAUUAUAAUACACAGGAAUAUAUAAAUUACAUAGAAUUUUGCAAUUCUCUCUUCAACAUCGUUUAUCAUGAUCUCAAAAUUAAGUGAUUUUGAGAAAGUUUUGAUUGCAUUGGGGACAUGACAUUGUACAUCUGGAGCUCCACUGCUUCUUAUACCAUUUUCUUUUUCAAUGACAACUAAUAUCCUCCUUUUAAUGUCUAUCUUUAAUAUAAUUUGUGUCAUUUGAUAGUUAUGUCAAUAGUCUAUCAUGCAGUUACAUCAUUCUCGAUUCUCUCUUCAAUAUUAUUAUAAUUAACGUUUAUUCUCAAUAUAUAUUAUUAUAAUUAACGUUUAUUCUCAAUAUAAUUUGAUAGUUAUGUUAGUAGUCUAUCAUGCAGUCACAUCAUUUUCGAUUCUCUCUUCAAUAUUAUUAUAAUUAAUGUCUAUCCUUAAUAUAAUUUAAGUCAUUUGAUGGUCAUGGCCACGUGAUCACAUCAUCCUCUAUUGUCCGUGCAUGGGAGAAAAUAUUCAGUGGUAUAAGUGCGACACGUCAUCUGCUAAUGUGGUGCGCAUUUACCACUCAAAUAUCUACACGUGUUUGUGAGUGGGACCCAUUGGAAAUUGGAAAGGCUGACUCUUGGCUAGUGGCUCAGCUCGGCUAGUGGAAGAAAGGACAGGUCAAUGGGUAGUAAAUGUGCAACACUCCCGCUUAAAAUUUCUCUCUCCUCACUUGAAUUUUCUAGGUUUUGUCUUUCUCUCUCUCCUCGUGGAAGAACAGACAGAGAACAAGCUACACUUCCUUUGUUUCCUUCUCCGCAUCCCACUCCCUCCACCUCCGCCUCCCCAAAAGCCUUGCCUGUCAUCUACCUCUGACACGUUGCCUCCUUCAAGAGCCCCGCUAGUCGCAAUUGAUUCCUGGCCCCCUUUGCCUUCGACCGUUUCCAACGCGGAGAUCAAGCAUAAGCUUUCUCGGCAACUUCUGGGCCUCCAUCCGAUUGCCUCCCUUCGACGAACUCGUCAUCAACUCCGACUUCGAGCCACUACUGCCGCCGCCGACGAUGGCAUCCUCCGCCUCUAGCAUCUGCUCAUCCUUUUCCUCCCUCAGGCCGAAGACGUUGCCGGCCUCCACCAUGAAGCCGUUGGCCUCCGGCAAGAGGGAGGCGGCCUCAAUCUCGUUCCUGAGCGGCACCAAGCUCCCCACCGUUGACCGGGUGCUGUCCCUAUCGCUGGCCCGAUUGGUCACGAGGGAGAUCUCGGCGAACCUAGGCAGGGUCGAUAGGGCGGCGAAGAAGAAGAGGCGCGGGCUAGACGGCUGGAGAAGGAUUCCCGCUCGUUGUGAACGAGGUACGUGUACUGGCUACACCAGUACCAAAGCUAGGGCUUUUCCUUGGACGUGAGCCGAAUCGGGUUCACGGACGAGUUCGUGGAGGAGAUGGAGCCUCGGUUCCAAACCACAUUCAAGGCGAUGGAGGAGUUGGAGAAGGACGCAAUCGCGAACCCGGCCCGAACGAGGGCCGCACGGUCGAGCACUACUGGUUGAGGAAGUCGGAACUCGCGCUGACCCGAUUCUUGAAGGCGCAGAUUGAGAGCACGCUCGAUGUCAUCUGCAAUUUCGCUGCCGACAUGGUUAGCGGUAAGGUCAGUUCUGGAAUUUCGGUCAUUGUUGCUCUCCGUGUGGUAAGAGAGUCUGUAGUUCCCUGCGUUCUUUUUUUUUCUUUUUUCUUUUUUGGAAUCGAUUUGCUGUCGUAGAUGCCUAUGUCAGUUUUCUGGUAAAUGCCAGCAUUGUCUUAGUCACUCGAGGAAGCGCAAGCCGAUGACAAAUUGAAUUGAUUUCUGGUCGAAAAGAUGGAGAGCUCGUUUACAUGUUAUGCACUUGAAAUGACCGUGUAUGGAAAUUUCCGACUCUGAGACGCAGUAAUUUCAAAAUUUUCUUCAGGUUUUCCGAUUAAUGUCAGCAUGAAAUUCGGUUUUUGAUCGUUGGUUUUCUUUUAGUGUGCUUAGCUGAUUGCAUCGAACACGGACGGAUUGAUUGACUUGAUUAUGUUUGACGCUUAAUUUGCAGAUUAAGCCCCCUUCUACUUCUCCUGUGGAUCGCUUUACUCAAGUACUUUCAGUUGGAAUCGGAGGUUCAGCUCUUGGCCUACGGUUUGUUGCAGAGACAUUGGCUCCCGAUAAACCUCCAUUGAAGUGUUGUAGACCGGAGUGUCCAUCCUCCUCUCGCAAUCUACCCUUCAGGUAUUCAGCUUCAUGGAAUGUGCUGCUCUUUUAACUUUUUAUACCUUCAUUGAUCUAUCCAUUUAAGUUGUCGGUCGAUGUACAUUGCACCGUUGAUAGUGGAGGUGAGCACGGCCCUUUUUCAUUCAGUUGGGCACUGAACCGAACAAACUGCAUUAAUACGGUUUACCAAACCAAACCACACUAUUUUCUUUUUGGUAACUUUUACUCCAUCCUAUUUUUCAAUGCAAGUUGAGCUGCUCACUUCCUUCGGUUUUAUUAGCAAAUUGUGCGGCACGCCAGACUGUUUUUCUGCUUAGCGCGUUCCUUCCCCCUCAACAAAAAAGAGUCCCUCUAAAAUCUAUGGCAUGGACAAAUAUGUGCACUAUUUGGUGGUUUAAAUCAGCACCUAACCUAGCUUUUCACCACAUGUCCUUUUCUAUUGUCUUUAUUAGGAAGCAGCCUUCCAGGAGUUGGUAUUGUUCUAUGCUGAAGAAGUGGACGAAACUGAUGUUCAAGGUGAAUCUGAGUUCAAAUCAUUGGAUGUAUAGAUCUACGAGAGAAUCCCUAUUUGAGCUUUGCCGUUAAAUUCCGUAUGAUAUCUGACAUUACCGUGUUCGUCGUCCAUUCGAGGUAUCUUCAGACAUUGUAGAUAAGUUGGCGGUGGUUUGUUUGUCUUCGUCCUUUCUUCCCUUUUCAAUUAGUUAAAAUUAUUUCUCAAGUCUUGGCAGCUCUUCCCUCAAGUGAGUAGUUCUCUUAAUGUCAUUCUUCCUACUUGGAUUAGUCAUGAUGUCAUUCCAUUUCGGGCUUUUCGUUGCAAGUUCAUCACUGUAGAUAUGAGAAUGAUCCAACUACCUUCCCUGUGUUAGCGAUUUUUUGACUUUUAACAGUCUGAAUGAUAUCUCAAUUUUACUUUUGGCAGAUUAGAUUCAUUGACAACACAGAUUUAUUAUCCUAUUGAAGAUGGAACACAAUCAGACUUGACCUGCAACCUCCGGUGUAUGGGGAGGCCGCAAGAGACUUGUAAGAAUCACUGUGACACACAUGAUAUCAUUAAUUAAUGAUUUAAUAAUUUUUUGAAUGCUAUAAAAAACAUUGGUCGUAAGAAAGUGCGACUCUUAUGAAAAGGUGUAGUUUUUAUUAGAAUGUGUAAUACUUAUGAAAAUGCGUGACUCUUAUGAAGAUACAAUAUACUUUGAUGGAAUGCACCUAUUGAUAAUUUAUAUAAAUAAAAAAAUAAAAAGUCUAAUCCUCUCUCCACCCAAGACAACAAAAGUUGAUUCUCCAUUCGUCUAGGAGAGUGAAUGUAGACUUAAUAUAAGCUAAAUCACUGAAUGUGUUUACAAUAUCUAUUAUAUCUUCAUUUGUUUUAUUAUCUCUUAAUAGAAUUACUUGCAUUUGCUAUUGUUAAAUUGAUUCUGCAUCUACCAGAGUUUAAUAUGAAGUAUUCCUCAAAUAAUUAUCAAAAUCAUUUUAAACAAAUUAUCCGUUUAAUUUGUAUUGUUAGCCUCAACACAUAUUUAUACAAAUUAAAUAUAGAAAGAAAAAAAAAGAAUUCCUAACCUUUAUCGUUCAACAUAAACAACUGUUUUGUUGUAAAAUAAUGUGUAAGCUAAUGGACCGUGCAAUUCAAUAUUAAACAAAAGGAGAUGAAAUUGCAAAGAACUCAAUAAGGGACAAUGAGGACAUUGGAAAUUGAGGCAGUUCAGUCUAAGUGUUGCUAUCUAGAGACUCAACCAUGAAGGAAAUUCAAUAUGAAUUUUGAGAAUUACAAAAUUAUAAUCACUCAAUUGCUAAAGUCUUUGGCAGUGUCGGAUUAGUCUCAAAACAAACUCACAAUGUGUUAUUUCACAAUAUCUCAUAAAGAGUUCAUCAGAAAACUCAUAAAGAGGAAAUCCCAACACUCUUAUUUGCUUUAACUUUAAAUAGGUCAAAAAGCAAAUUUAAACCUCGCGUGUUUGACGUCGGUCCAAGACCCGAGCAUUGGGCACUUCCCCCCGAACGUAAGCACGCGUUUGAGAUGAGGAAAUGCGUAUGUUGGUGGUGUGAAAAGACAAGGACCCAUAUUGGAUGUCAAAAGAAAGAUGAAAUAAUCCAUAAUUUCUAAUUGACCGACGACUUAGUGAAUUGUAUUUCUUAGUGAAGAUAGGUUUAACUAAAUUGUCAAUAGGCUUAAAUUUUGGGCUUCCUCUUGGAUUUUGGUAUUAUGAAGGUAGCGCACUUUUACGGCACUUCGAUAUAGUAAUCGAUGAUGAUUAAUCAAUGACAACUCAAUGUGCGUUGGUAUCUUGGAUUAUAUAAGGAAUCUCACGGAUCUUCGUGAUUAUCAAGUAUGUAUUGCCAUCACGGUUAGGCCCAUGAGGAGACCAUGGGUGAAAAGCAUGUUUGCAUCGAUUGGCAAUAAUUAGAGAUUUGGGUCAAAAUUUGUCAGUGCAAAGGAACAUUGGACUUGGAAUGAGGGGAAUUGGCCCAACGUGGUAGACUCACAUGUGAGGGGGAAAAUGUUGAGUGCUCAAGUGAGUGGUAUGAAAAUAAAGUAGUUCCAUAUUAGAAGUCCAAAGUUAAAAGAAGCAAUAGAUAAUACCUAGUUAAGGAGGACCUUUCUUAUGUAUGAAGCCGGUCUAAUGAAAUGCCAUAAGAGGAACUCAAUCACUAAAUCGAUUCAGUAAAAUAAAUAAAUACACCCUCAUCUAUGUAUACGAUGCAUGUUAAUGGAUCUAAAAGCAGUCAUAAUAGAAUCUUAUAUAGAUAAAAUGGCCUAUAUCUACAUACAAAAAAUAAAAGAACUAUUUUGCCUCGUGUAUCAUUAAGAGGAUGAGAGAAAAAAGUAGGUUCAAAGUAGGUCACUAAAGAACGAUAAUAAAAUUAAAAUGAAUAAAUAUCUGUGAAUCUUGCAUUGGUACCUAUUCUAAUUAAAAGGGCAAAAUGAUAUAAACAAUUUUUACUCGAUACCAGAAGAAAAGGAAUAGAAAAAAAUGUGUAAGCGCUCCGAUGCUUUCAGCCACUUUGUAUUUGACCAUUUCCAUUUAUUUCAACACCAAAUUAGAUUACAUAACAAUAAAUUAUGGAUACACGGUUAUCUUUGUAAUAAUGAGCUGUUACACUACUUAAGCCCAUUAUUAUGUUAGCCUUAGCAAAUAUAUUAUUUAAGAAGGACUUCUUUCCUUCUUCGUUAAUAACAAAAGAGAAGGACCAAGAACAUUAUAAGGAAAGAACAGUGAACACACAUGAGGAGAAGAAAGAAAGGAAGAACCUAACCAAGGAAACUUAGAUUGCCUUUGUGAUAGCCCAAGGAAGGGAAGGGGUCCUCUCUAGUCCCACAUCACGUAGGGAGAGUCCUGGGCUAGUUUAUAAGGGCUUGAGUUCUUUUAAUCUGUAUAACUCAUUUUAAAGCCGUGAGAACUCAGUGUUUAAAGCAGACAAUAUUAUACAGUGGGGCAUGGGUCGUUAUUAGAUUAGUCCAUGGAAUGAAUCAUUAACAUUUGAUUUGUUUAAGAUAAAUCAAUGAAAUAGACCAUUAAUGAUUGACAUGUUAUUGUAAGUUGAUAUUGUUAAUUGAUCUUAUACGUAAAAAGUUUCGUUGGAAAGAUAUUAUCCACUUUUGAUAGUUUACUUAUAUCAUAUACUGGAUUUUCGGUUGUGAGUUAUAAUAUUGAUUUAUAAUAAUCUGCAUAUAAAAUAUGUAUUACUUAUUGGACUAUGAUUGCUCAUUUUAUUCAUCUUACUUGCUUUUCAAGUUUUUCAACUAACCGUAAGCAAGUAAAAUGAGAGCAUUUACAUUAUUGGGAUGACAUUUUGGAUAUUAUAUCUCAAAUGAACUCCUGAGUUUAGUUGUUAGAUUGACAUAUACCUAUUUUUUUGAUGGAUUAUAGAAACUCUAAUAUUAUAACCAGAUAACUCUUAAUCAUACAUAUGGAUGUAUAUUUCGAUAAUAGGUUGAUGGUAAUUAUGCUUAAGGUAGCGUUUUUUGAGUGAAAGGAUGGC